rnacentral:lncRNA from 1 species
GGUAGUUUCUUUAUGAUGAAUUAUGGUAAAUUAUACUUGUAAAACUACAUAUUAAAUUAUGUCAGAUGUUAGAGGACAUGUUAAAAUGCUAACUGUACCUCCCAUGUAUUAUUAGAAUAAAUUUAGAGCAUGAGUUAUAAUUAGAGUGAAUUUUUUAAAUUGCCUUGCCAACUUUUUUUGUGAGUUCUAUAUUUCUUUUUCAUUAUGCUUUACCUCAUGAAAUUUUUGUAAAGUCAUCAGAAACAUGUUAUUUAGAAGUGAAAAUAUUUCCUUCUAGCAAACAUAUUUUCAAUGAUUUACUUACUUGAAAAUUGGUUCACAAUUAAGUACUCAACAAUGAUCAGUAAUGGGAGGUUCAUCAUGAAAAGUAAAUGGAAACAAAUAUAUUGUGCAGCUACAAAUUUUAAAAUUGAAUGCUUGGUUCUAUGUAAAUAAAAUAGUAUCCAAUCAUAGACUUGAUGUGCUACCUUAUCAUUGGAAUGGAUAAACAUGUCUGGAAUAACACAUCACAAACAUGGGCAAUAGAUAGAUGAAAUCAAAUUAAACUGUAAAGCUUCUAUACAACAAAAGACAGUUAUCACGUGAACAGACAGCCUACAGAAUAGGAGAAAGUAUUUAUUGCUACUCAUCUGAAAAGGGAUUGAUAUAUAGAAUAUGUAAGGAACUACAAAAACUCAAUACCAAAAAAAAAAAAAGUCACCGUUAUUAAGUAUUAACCAUGACCUUCUGAAUAAGAAGGCAAAGCAGUUGAAGGAAAAUAAAGAUUAUUGAGAAUCAAAUAUCUCUAUGAAUUCCUCACAUUUUAAAACAUUGUAUCAUGAUGUUGUAGAACAUGGAAGUGUCUAAAGAGGACUAGAUUCCCCCCCCCCUCCUUAAGUAUUGAUGACUUCUUUUGUUCUCUGUAGCACUUGGAGCUAAUAUUAUUAGGGCAAGACCCUUCACAGCAAUGAUCAUACCCCAAUUACUGUAGUAGGAGAGCCAUACUUUGCUGAAAUGAUUAUACCCAGAGCUUUGUCAUGAUCCUUAUCCUCAGGUGAAUGGUGCAUGGGAGUAGUGUAUGUGGUCAAUAUUACCAAUAUUCUCAUUUCCUACCUAAUAUGGAGAUGUUAGGGGAAGGAAAAAUUGCCAUUCAUUUUAUGAAAGACAUUUCCUAACACAUUUUGGGGAAAGAAAACAUUGGGACUUGAUUGUGUCUGGGAUGUGAUAGUCCAGAUGACAUUCAAAUGUUGUUGUCCAACAAAAAUAUUGUACUCAUAUAAUAAUAGUUUUAAAAAAGAAAAAGAAGAAGAACAGAAAGGCCCAGAUCAGAUCUGCAGGUUUUGGAGAAGGUGACAGCUAUCUCUUCUUGCUUCUGUUUUUAUCUCAGGGGAAUUUUGGUUCCCUGGGUUACAAGAAAACAAGUCUUCUUUCUGCCCCAUCAAGCCUCUGCCCAGUCAGAAGCUACUAUGGUGUUCCUGCCAGUUCAUGUGGGAACAAUCUGUUUCCUUCUUAAUUUUCAACUAACCUUUAUGAAUGAAAUGUGAUUAAAUCUAGCAAAAACUAUGGAAACAUCAUAAUGGCAUACGGGGAGCCUGCCUCGUGUGCCAGUUUGCUAUUUCCGUCUAAUAACAGAUUAGAAAAAUCCAAUUAGGCAGUU